AACGCGAAGAACCUUACCAAGGCUUGACAUAUAGAGGAAACGUGCAGAAAUGUACGCCCCGCAAGGUCUCUAUACAGGUGGUGCAUGGUUGUCGUCAGCUCGUGUCGUGAGAUGUUGGGUUAAGUCCCGCAACGAGCGCAACCCUCGUCCUAUGUUGCCAGCACGUAAUGGUGGGAACUCAUGGGAGACUGCCGGGGUCAACUCGGAGGAAGGUGGGGAUGACGUCAAAUCAUCAUGCCCCUUAUGUCUUGGGCUUCACGCAUGCUACAAUGGCCGGUACAAAGGGCUGCAAUACCGCAAGGUGGAGCGAAUCCCAAAAAGCCGGUCUCAGUUCGGAUUGGGGUCUGCAACUCGACCCCAUGAAGUUGGAGUCGCUAGUAAUCGUGAAUCAGCAACGUCACGGGGAAUACGUUCCCGGGUCUUGUACACACCG
rnacentral:rRNA from 1 species